rnacentral:rRNA from 1 species
UGGGGAAUCUUGUGCAAUGGGCGAAAGCCUGACGCAGCCAUGCCGCGUGGAUGAUGAAGGUCUUAGGAUUGUAAAAUCCUUUCACCGGUGAAGAUAAUGACUGUAGCCGGAGAAGAAGCCCCGGCUAACUUCGUGCCAGCAGCCGCGGUAAUACGAAGGGGGCUAGCGUUGCUCGGAAUUACUGGGCGUAAAGGGAGCGUAGGCGGACAUUUAAGUCAGGGGUGAAAUCCCAGAGCUCAACUCUGGAACUGCCUUUGAUACUGGAUGUCUUGAGUGUGAGAGAGGUAUGUGGAACUCCGAGUGUAGAGGUGAAAUUCGUAGAUAUUCGGAAGAACACCAGUGGCGAAGGCGACAUACUGGCUCAUUACUGACGCUGAGGCUCGAAAGCGUGGGGAGCAA